AACGAACGCUGGCGGCAGGCUUAACACAUGCAAGUCGAGCGAGAUCUUCGGGUCUAGCGGCGGACGGGUGAGUAACGCGUGGGAACGUGCCCUUUUCUGCGGAAUAGCCUCGGGAAACUGAGAGUAAUACCGCAUACGCCCUUUUGGGGAAAGAUUUAUCGGAGAAGGAUCGGCCCGCGUUGGAUUAGGUAGUUGGUGGGGUAAAGGCCUACCAAGCCGACGAUCCAUAGCUGGUUUGAGAGGAUGAUCAGCCACACUGGGACUGAGACAUGGCCCAGACUCCUACGGGAGGCAGCAGUGGGGAAUCUUAGACAAUGGGGGCAACCCUGAUCUAGCCAUGCCGCGUGAGUGAUGAAGGCCUUAGGGUUGUAAAGCUCUUUCAGCUGGGAAGGUAAUGACGGUACCAGCAGAAGAAGCCCCGGCUAACUCCGUGCCAGCCGCCGCGGUAA
rnacentral:rRNA from 1 species